GACGACUUACUUCUAAGAAUCAUUUCUAUAGUAUACGUCUCCUUCUGAUUUUUUCGCUUUAGCGACAGAAUCCCCACUCUUGCGGAUGACCUUAUGUCCAGUAUGCCCUAAAGUGAAACCGUGUGUUCCCGCCUCGACUUCGAUCAGAUCUGGAUUCUGUCCGGGUUCUGUCGCUGUCCAGGGAAUGGUGAUGAUCUUGACCUUGCGCUAGCGUCUUGACUUCGGUCGGCUGCGUCUGGUGGGUGUACUGGAGGUCUGAAAGAG
rnacentral:snoRNA from 1 species